GUUAGGAAUAUUGGACAAUGGGGGGAACCCUGAUCCAGCCAUGCCGCGUGUGUGAAGAAGGCCUUUUGGUUGUAAAGCACUUUAAGCGAGGAGGAGGCUACCGAGAUUAAUACUCUUGGAUAGUGGACGUUACUCGCAGAAUAAGCACCGGCUAACUCUGUGCCAGCAGCCGCGGUAAUACAGAGGGUGCAAGCGUUAAUCGGAUUUACUGGGCGUAAAGCGCGCGUAGGUGGCCAAUUAAGUCAAAUGUGAAAUCCCCGAGCUUAACUUGGGAAUUGCAUUCGAUACUGGUUGGCUAGAGUAUGGGAGAGGAUGGUAGAAUUCCAGGUGUAGCGGUGAAAUGCGUAGAGAUCUGGAGGAAUACCGAUGGCGAAGGCAGCCAUCUGGCCUAAUACUGACACUGAGGUGCGAAAGCAUGGGGAGCAAACAGGAUUAGAAACCCUGGUAGUCC
rnacentral:rRNA from 1 species